GACGAACGCUGGCGGCGUGCCUAAUACAUGCAAGUCGAACGCUGAAGGAGGAGCUUGCUUCUCUGGAUGAGUUGCGAACGGGUGAGUAACGCGUAGGUAACCUGCCUGGUAGCGGGGGAUAACUAUUGGAAACGAUAGCUAAUACCGCAUAAUAUUGACUAUUGCAUGAUAGUCAGUUGAAAGGUGCAACUGCACCACUACCAGAUGGACCUGCGUUGUAUUAGCUAGUUGGUGGGGUAACGGCUCACCAAGGCGACGAUACAUAUCCGACCUGAGAGGGUGAUCGGCCACACUGGGACUGAGACACGGCCCAGACUCCUACGGGAGGCAGCAGUAGGGAAUCUUCGGCAAUGGACGGAAGUCUGACCGAGCAACGCCGCGUGAGUGAAGAAGGUUUUCGGAUCGUAAAGCUCUGUUGUAAGAGAAGAACGAGUGUGAGAGUGGAAAGCUCACACUGUGACGGUAUCUUACCAGAAAGGGACGGCUAACUACGUG
rnacentral:rRNA from 1 species